rnacentral:lncRNA from 1 species
CCAUCACCAACACCAUGUCCUCCCUGGUGAAGGAGCUGCACUCGGCAGAGGAAGAAGACGAAGAAGAAACAGAGAAGCUGCAGAAUGGGAAGGACCGAGGUGAGGAGACAAAGCUGUCUGAGAGCUCUGCAGCAUUUUCUGACUCACUCAGGGUUCUCUGGCUCCCUUUGGAGCCCCACCAGGGCCUCUGGGUGCACGUGGGUGGCUCUGGGUGCCUCUGGAUCAGAUGGCUCUGGACCACAUGGAUGGCUCUGGAUCAGAUGUGCUGAUGGGGUUCCAUGGUGACCUCAGCUGGACACGUGUCCCUGUGCUGGGUCCCAUGGUGUCCCUGUGCUGGGUCCCUCAGUGUCCC